rnacentral:rRNA from 1 species
GAUGAACGCUAGCUACAGGCUUAACACAUGCAAGUCGAGGGGCAGCAUGAACAAAGCUUGCUUUGUUUGAUGGCGACCGGCGCACGGGUGCGUAACACGUAUCCAAUCUGCCCGUUACUCGGGGAUAGCCUUCUGAAAGGAAGAUUAAUACCCGAUGGCAUGUAUUUCCGGCAUCGGAGAUACAUUAAAGAUUUAUCGGUAACGGAUGAGGAUGCGUACGAUUAGCUGGUUGGCGGGGUAACGGCCCACCAAGGCUACGAUCGUUAGGGGUUCUGAGAGGAAGGUCCCCCANACUGGAACUGAGACACGGUCCAGACUCCUACGGGAGCAGCAGUGAGGAAUAUUGGGUCCAAAUGGACGAGAGUCUGAACCAGCCAAGUAGCGUGAAGGAUGACUGCCCUAUGGGUUGUAAACUUCUUUUGUUUGGGAAUAAAGUGAGGGACGUGUCCCUUUUUGAUGUACCAUUCGAAUAAGCAUCGGCUAAUUCCGUG